rnacentral:rRNA from 1 species
AGCGAACGCUGGCGGCAGGCUUAACACAUGCAAGUCGAGCGGGCACUUCGGUGUCAGCGGCAGACGGGUGAGUAACACGUGGGAACGUACCCUUUGGUUCGGAAUAACGCUGGGAAACUAGCGCUAAUACCGGAUACGCCCUUUUGGGGAAAGGCUUGCUGCCGGAGGAUCGGCCCGCGUCUGAUUAGCUAGUUGGUGGGGUAAUGGCCUACCAAGGCGACGAUCAGUAGCUGGUCUGAGAGGAUGAUCAGCCACACUGGGACUGAGACACGGCUCAGACUCCUACGGGAAGCAGCAGUGGGGAAUAUUGGACAAUGGGCGCAAGCCUGAUCCAGCCAUGCCGCGUGAGUGAUGAAGGCCUUAGGGUUGUAAAGCUCUUUUGUCCGGGACGAUAAUGACGGUACCGGAAGAAUAAGCCCCGGCUAACUUCGUG